AAGGUACUCAAGGGCGCUAAAUGGAUGCCUAGACGUAUAUUACCGAUGAAGGACGUGGAAGACUGCGAUAAGCU
rnacentral:rRNA from 1 species